rnacentral:ribozyme from 2 species
ACUUUAAACCUACCAAGGGCGGUCCAAAGUCCGUGUAAAAGGCGAUGGGAGU